rnacentral:tRNA from 5 species
CGGGGUAUGGCGCAGCUUGGUAGCGCACCUGCUUUGGGAGCAGGGGGUCGCAGGUUCAAAUCCUGUUGCCCCGA